ensembl:snRNA U6 U6 spliceosomal RNA
CUGCUUUGGCAGCAUAUAUACUAAAAUUGGGACAGUAACUAGAAUAUUAGCAUAGCCCUGUGCAAGGAUGACAUGCAAAUUUGUGAAGCAUUAUAUAUACAU